CCUCCCUACACCUGAGCAACAGCACUCCUUGCUGCUGCAGGAAGCAUCUGGAUGUGAUUACUUGGAAAGUGGCAAUGUGUAAAAAGUGACACACAGGAAAUGCAAGAAAAUGAAUGCCCACAGGAUGCCAUGAGCUUUCAACAAGUAAUGGCCUCUUUAUUGGCUGGAGGAAGGAGGUCUGAGAGGCAAGGGAACAAGAGAAGCCUGCAGCCCCGUUGGUCAGACUGCAACACGAAGGCCACAGGGGAAGGCAAACCAGCUUUUCCCAGCACAUCUGCAUCCAUCUCUGCCUAAGCGAGGAGAAGCUUAAUUAUUUCACGCUGGAAAAUAAAGGGGAAAAAAAAA